rnacentral:rRNA from 1 species
ACGAACGCUGGCGGCAGGCCUAACACCUGCCCGUCGAGCGCGCCCUUCGGGGUGAGCGGCGGACGGGUGAGUAACGCGUGGGAACGUGCCCUUCUCUGCGGAAUAGCCUCGGGAAACUGAGAGUAAUACCGCAUACGCCCUUUGGGGGAAAGAUUUAUCGGAGAAGGAUCGGCCCGCGUUGGAUUAGGUAGUUGGUGGGGUAAUGGCCCACCAAGCCGACGAUCCAUAGCUGGUUUGAGAGGAUGAUCAGCCACACUGGGACUGAGACACGGCCCAGACUCCUACGGGAGGCAGCAGUGGGGAAUCUUAGACAAUGGGGGCAACCCUGAUCUAGCCAUGCCGCGUGAGUGAUGAAGGCCUUAGGGUUGUAAAGCUCUUUCAGCUGGGAAGAUAAUGACGGUACCAGCAGAAGAAGCCCCGGCUAACUCCGUG